rnacentral:misc_RNA from 1 species
GACAGAGGGUGCAAGCGUUGUUCGGAAUCACUGGGCGUAAAGCGCGCGUAGGCGGCCAGGCAAGUCGAAUGUGAAAGCCCAGGGCUCAACCCUGGAACUGCAUCCGAAACUGCUUGGCUUGAGUCCCGGAGAGGGUGGUGGAAUUCCCAGUGUAGAGGUGAAAUUCGUAGAUAUUGGGAGGAACACCGGUGGCGAAGGCGACCACCUGGACGGUGACUGACGCUGAGGUGCGAAAGCGUGGGGAGCAAACAGG